UAUGUGUAAGGAUCUUUAUAAGAAGCGGAAAUACCCAAUGGAUAUAGAACAUGGAUGGGUAAUACGAGCAACUGUCACUCUUUUUAGUAUAACGCACGUGUACGGAUAACAAUUGAGGAUCAGUGAUUGCGAUAGAAGAGAGCACUUUUGCGGCUAUACUUUUCACAUACUGCUUAUUGGAUUCUAAGUUGAAGUGAAGGAGUUAUUAGAUUUUGAAGUC
rnacentral:lncRNA from 1 species